rnacentral:tRNA from 1 species
UGUAUCGUAGCUCAGUUGGUAGAGCCGUGGACUGUUAAUCCACUGGUCGCAGGUUCGAGUCCUGCCGAUACAG